AUCGCUCGCUGACGUCAGUGCUAGGAACCUGCGCCCGGCUGAGCUGAGCGAGACGAGAGGAGAAAGCCAGGCUCGGGGAGGAGGCUGAGAGCUCUGGAGGAAGGAGGCGGCUUCCGAGUACUCCGCGCCGGGCAGGCCCCGGCCUCGCCUCUCCUCCCAUUUUUAAGGCUCGGUUAGAGGCCACCUCCUCCGAGAAGCCUUCGGUGACACCACCAGAAGGCUUCCCAGAACCUUUCCCAGGCGGUUCCCCUUUCGGAUUCCGACAGCAUUUUCCAACCAUACACUGUCAGAACCACUCACCAGGACAUGUUGUCACCAUUUUACCUCUUUGCCUCGUCUCUUAACUAGAUGAAAUGGGUUCCUCUUGGCUCUUUGGAAAGGGAGGCUGUCUUCUGCUUAUUUCCGUAGUAAUCCCACCUCCCACAACAAGUUCCAUUCUGCAGCAAUGCCUUUUCUCUUGCUGAGAAACAUUCAAGUCUAAGUUUUAUGCCGUCUUCCUUCCUUAUUGUGGAUUGGACCUUCUCAAGAAAGAAUCCGGCCUCAGUCUCCGUCUUCCACACUCAGGAACCAGGCACUCCGUAGAUGUCUUCCGAAUGGGGAUAACUUCUACCCAACACCCCGAAGCCUGGCCCAGGGUCUGGCAUACAGAUGCCCAGUGUUUGUAAGGCCACACAGUAAAUUCUCAAGAGAACCAGGACUGGGACCAAAUUUUCUGACUUCAAGUAUGGGACCUUUUCAUUAGACUGUGGUGCCCUUCUGCUGCUGUUGCAUGGGCCGCCGUCCAGCAGAGCUGUCAUUGCAGAUGAUGUAGUGAAUGGGACAGGAGCCUGGAGGCUGGAACCCUUUGUCUCCACCAUUACCCGGGACCUCAUUGGUGACAACUUGACUGUGCUGACCAGAGCUGAUAAGAAACAUCACCCGGGGAAGACCAGCUGCCUUUUCCUCACUUCCUAAUCAGGGUGGAAAUACUGCUAAAUAUAUCACAACUCUUUGCAAGCAUCGUUGGGUAACGAUCAGGACAUCUUUGGGGUUCCCUAUCAGUUUCUCACAGAGUUGAACCUUUCAAGGUCAGUUCUAGGCCAGCCAGUCUGGGAGUCAUUCUUUAGAAUCAGAAGAGAAUUUAAGAAGAGAAGAAAAUAACAUUGUCUCUAAAACCUGCUAAUGAGAACUACAGGAAGGUAGCUAUUUUUAAUAUUUCUGCUUUGAACCCCUUCCUCCACCCCAGAAUGAACUGAGAGUAGGGACAGAAAUAGAUAAUGCAAAAAUGAUUAGGGUUGAGGGUAAGCAGAAAGCUACCCAUCUAGACUGAAGGAAGGCUUGCUAACACAUCAGUAAGCAAACAGCUUUCUAAUCUGCAAGUAAUAAGUUUUACAUCCCUGAGGACACUUUUUGAGAUGGGACUUUGUUGUUUUUUGUUUUUUUGAGACGGAGUCUUGCUCUGUCACCCAGGUUGGAGUGCAGUGGUGCGGUCUUGGCUCACUGCAACUUCUGCCUUCCAAGU